GAUUCUCCUGCCUCAGCCUGCCAAGUAGCUGGGACUACAGGGGAGAGAGGGUAUCAGAUGCCUUCAGAUAUUAAACUUAUUGUCUAUCAGGAGUUGCAAACUAUAAUGCUAACAGGGCCAGAUUACCUCUGGAAGUCCAUUAGAUGUUACAAGUCCAAGAGAAUUCAUAAAAGGUAUAAAAUUUUUGAAAUAAACAUUUUUCACCUGAAAAAGAUGAAGUUACAACAUGAUCAUUAAAAUUUAAAACAAAAUCUAAUCUCUUGACUCUUGAACAAUGCAGGGUAAGUUAGAGGUGUCAAUCCCCCAUGCAGUAAAAAAUCUGUGUAUAACUUUUUUAUUUUUUAUUAUUUUCUUAGAGAAGGGGUCUCUCUAUAUUGCCUAGGCUGAAGUGUAGUGGCUAUUCACAGGUGCAAUCACAUGCAUUACAGCUUCAAAUGCUUGGGCUCAAGCCAUCCUUCCACCUCAGCCUCCCAAGUAGCUGAGACUACAGACCUAUCGAUUACUUUUGAGUACCCAAAAUUUAACUAACAGCCUACUGUUGACUGGAAGCCAACCAAUAACAUAAAGAUUGAAUUCACAUAUAUUUUGUAUAUGUACUAUAUAUACAUACUAAAUAUAUCAUCUUCUUAUGAUAAAGAUAGAGAAAAGAAAAUAUUAGGAAAAUUGUAAGAAGACAAAAUACAUUUACAGUAAGUUUAUGUCAUCUGUUAACAAAAAUCGUCCGCCUGAAACAGCAGGCAUCUGCAGCUACAGUUUUGUAUGUAUUUUAUGGUAUAGUAAAUGAUAAAAUAGACUAGUAUCUACAUAUAUUUUGUACAUUCAAGACAUGCCUUUUUCUUAAUUUUUUCUGUAUUUGUAGGCUACACGGUUUGCUACAAAUUUUUUCAAAUUAUUGCAAAUCUCCAAAAUUUUUUCUAAUAUAUGUAAUUAAAUAUAUCUGUGUAUAAACGGACCCAUGCAAUUCAAACCUGUUGUUCAAGAGUCAACUGUAUAUUUGUUGAAAUUAGUAAGCCAUAGUGCAAAAACUAUGAUAUAUCUUGAUAAAUCAUUCUAAUACUUCUUAAACUAGAUUUUAGGACCACACUCUCACUCCUUCCCAAAGUUAACAGAGAAAUUUCAAAGAUGUAACAUUUUUUACUGCUAUCUGGUGUUAGUGAUUGUGGACAAUAAAACAAACUAUGAGAAAAACUGUAUGGUAAAAAGGAAAGAAGCAAUAGUACCAGAUAUCCCAAAGUCUAAUGUAGACGCUGUAAAUAAUAAGCUAUCAGUCCCUGGAAGCUUGUUUACUCAUUAUAAAAAGGAGAUUGAAUACAUUAUUUGUAAGAUUCCUUCUAACAUCCACAUUCUAUGAACAAGACAAGUAAUUCCUGGGAAUUCAUAUGUAUUCUCCAGCAGUCAUUAUGUGCUGUAAUAUUUAGAAAGAGAGUAAUUAUAGAAGGCCAAACAGAAAUUUAAUGUUGGUAUCACUUAUCACUAAACUAAAACACUAGAGCACUAGAGUUUUCUAAGCAGGGCUUUUUUGGUUUGUUUGUUCGUUUUUGGAGACAUAGUCUCACUCUGGCGCCCGGGCUGGAGUGCAGUGGUGCAAUCAUGUCUCACUGUAACCUCAAACUUCUGGGCUCAAGCAAUCCUUUUGCCUCAGUCUUCCAAGUAGCUGGGACUACAGGCACAUGCCACCAUGCCCAGUUCAUUUUUUUAAAUAUGUAUUUUGUAGAGACAGAGUCUCGCUAUGUUGUUCAGGCUGGUCUAGACCUCCUGGCCUCAAGAAAUCCUCCCACUUCGGCCUCCCAAAGAGCUGGGAUUACAGGUGUGAGCCACCAUGCCCAGCCUUGGCAGGGUAUUUUAAAACAUUAGGGGUAUCAGUAACCUCAGAGGAAUAAAAAAAAAAAAAAACUACAUUUGAAAACUAU